GGGACUGAAAGGAUUUCUACAUGUUUGUAUGUUUUAAGUGUUUUUAAUCUGCAUUAUGUAUAAGAUACAAUAGUGUGAUUUAUUUGUAUUAAUUGCAAAACAUAAUAUUAUAGCUUUUUCAAAAAAUUUAGUAUACGUAUAAAUUUUGAAGAUGAUAAAUUGUAAAGUUAAUACACAAUUUAUAUUUUUUAAGUUCUGCUCUAAUCAUCAAUAUAGCAGUAUAAUUUACUGGUUUUUAUUAAAGUGAUUUUUAGUUAAGUAAAUAGUUCAUAAAAUCUAGAAUGUACACAAAUUAACCCUAAUUACUUAAUUUUUUUACGAACAUGGACGUGGGUUCAAAUCCCACCAGUUCCA
rnacentral:tmRNA from 1 species